rnacentral:rRNA from 1 species
UGGGGAAUAUUGGACAAUGGGCGAAAGCCUGAUCCAGCCAUGCCGCGUGUGUGAAGAAGGUCUUCGGAUUGUAAAGCACUUUAAGCUGGGAGGAAGGGCAGUAAGCGAAUACCUUGCUGUUUUGACGUUACCGACAGAAUAAGCACCGGCUAACUCUGUGCCAGCAGCCGCGGUAAUACAGAGGGUGCAAGCGUUAAUCGGAAUUACUGGGCGUAAAGCGGGCGUAGGUGGUUCGUAAAGUUGAAUGUGAAAGCCCCGGGCUCAACCUGGGAACUGCAUCCGAAACUGGCGAGCUAGAGUAGGGCAGAGGGUGGUGGAAUUUCCUGUGUAGCGGUGAAAUGCGUAGAUAUAGGAAGGAACACCAGUGGCGAAGGCGACCACCUGGGCUCAUACUGACACUGAGGUGCGAAAGCGUGGGGAGCAAAAAGG